rnacentral:rRNA from 1 species
AAAUUGAAGAGUUUGAUCAUGGCUCAGAUUGAACGCUGGCGGCAGGCCUAACACAUGCAAGUCGAACGGUAACAGGAAGCAGCUUGCUGCUUCGCUGACGAGUGGCGGACGGGUGAGUAAUGUCUGGGAAACUGCCUGAUGGAGGGGGAUAACUACUGGAAACGGUGGCUAAUACCGCAUAACGUCGCAAGACCAAAGAGGGGGACCUUCGGGCCUCUUGCCAUCAGAUGUGCCCAGAUGGGAUUAGCUUGUUGGUGAGGUAACGGCUCACCAAGGCGACGAUCCCUAGCUGGUCUGAGAGGAUGACCAGCCACACUGGAACUGAGACACGGUCCAGACUCCUACGGGAGGCAGCAGUGGGGAAUAUUGCACAAUGGGCGCAAGCCUGAUGCAGCCAUGCCGCGUGUAUGAAGAAGGCCUUCGGGUUGUAAAGUACUUUCAGCGGGGAGGAAGGUGUUGCGGUUAAUAACCGCAGCAAUUGACGUUACCCGCAGAAGAAGCACCGGCUAACUCCGUGCCAGCAGCCGCGGUAAUACGGAGGGUGCAAGCGUUAAUCGGAAUUACUGGGCGUAAAGCGCACGCAGGCGGUCUGUCAAGUCGGAUGUGAAAUCCCCGGGCUCAACCUGGGAACUGCAUUCGAAA